UACGGGGGGAGCAAGCGUUGUUCGGAUUUACUGGGCGUAAAGGGCGCGUAGGCGGCCACCGCAAGUCGACUGUGAAAUCUCCGGGCUUAACCCGGAAAGGUCAGCCGAUACUGCGGGGCUAGAGUGCAGAAGGGGCAACUGGAAUUCUCGGUGUAGCGGUGAAAUGCGUAGAUAUCGAGAGGAACACCAGUGGCGAAGGCGGCUGCCUGGGCCAGUUCUGACGCUGAGGCGCGAAAGCGUGGGGAGCAAACAGG
rnacentral:rRNA from 1 species